GGAGGGGACAGCUCAAGUGGAAGAGUGCAUGCUUAGUACAUAUGAGGCUCUGGGUUCAAACCCCAGUACCUCCU
rfam:Camelus ferus unplaced genomic scaffold scaffold161, whole genome shotgun sequence.